GAGGGUGUAGCUCAUUGGUAGGGCACAUGCUUAGCAUGCACGAGGUCCUGGGUUCCAUCCCCAGUACCUCCC
rnacentral:tRNA from 1 species